UGCCAGCCGCCGCGGUAAUACGGAGGGUGCAAGCGUUGUUCGGAAUUAUUGGGCGUAAAGCGCGUGUAGGCGGUUCGUUAAGUCUGAUGUGAAAUCCCGGAGCUCAACUCCGGAACUGCCCUUGAAACUAGGUAACUAGAAUACUGGAGAGGUGAGUGGAAUUCCGAGUGUAGAGGUGAAAUUCGUAGAUAUUCGGAGGAACACCAGUGGCGAAGGCGGCUCACUGGCUCGAUACUGACGCUGAGGUGCGAAAGCGUGGGGAGCAAACAGGAUUAGAUA
rnacentral:rRNA from 1 species